UUGUGAACAAUUUUAUAUGUUGAAUGUUAGCAAUAAUUAAAGGUUAUUAAGAUGUAUUUGAGGUAUUUAAAAAUAUUAUUGCAAAAGGAAAUGUUUAUUGGAAGAUUUAUGUUGAAAUCAAAGAAUAUGAAAAGGGUUUGUAAAUUAUAGCUUCAUUUUUUAAAAUUGUUGUAGUUACAUGAUAUCAAUCACUUGAUUGAGGAUUUGGGGUUUAAUUUCUCUAUUAUUUAGAAAUUUUUAGGCUAGUUUCAAGCAAGGUAAUGCACAGGUGCUAUUUUGAAAUUCUGCCCAGAAAGUGUUAUUUCUGUCAAUGGUUUUGAUGAUAGUUUUCAAUAUUCAAAAAUUGGAAUCAGCUUUCUAUAUUCUGGAAAUACAGGGCCAAUUUUGUUAAUCUUUUGAUUUUCUUGGAUUUUUAGUAUGAGAACCAAAUUAAAUAUUGAAUAUUGGGGAUUAAAUAUUGAAAUAACUUAUAUAAAGGUGGAUAUGUUAUUAGUAAGCCCAAUUGGGAUUAUGAUAUUAUAUUGAAAAUAAAAAACUCCAAGUUCUUAUUAGUAAAUUAUCAUUCCAAUGGUAGGAAAGAUGUUUAAAGCACAUUAGUGAUGAGAUAUGAUUUCUUGGAACGAGUGUGAAAUGUCAUGCUUGGUAUUUGAAUGUGAGGAGGCGUCUAGAAGAUUGAAGUCCCGAUCAAUCUACAACUUGGUCAGUAGAUAAAAAUUUAUUUUUCAGAAAUUAGUAUUUAUUAAAUUUAUAUUAGAUCAGAAAAUUUAUUAUUUCAUACAAUUGAUUUGACAGCAUGAUUUUCAGAAUAAAGUGAAUUUAUAAUCAGUUGUUUUUAAAGUUAAAUUUAGUUUAGUUAAAUCAUUUUAGUUAGCAUGUUAUAUGCAUCUUAAAUAUUUCAGCACAUCUAUUGUAUUUUUAAAACCGCCAGAAAGUACCCAGAUGAUUUUACCUUAGUCUGCACUUAUGCGAAUGUGUUUUCACAGUUAUGACUCUAUAUGGUUAUUUUACCCACUCUACACUGGUGUAAAUGUGUUUCAACGGUGUAUAAUUAGUUAUGAAGAUUUUACCCACUCUGCACUGUUGUGAAUAUGUUUCUAUAGUGUACAACAAGAUUAUAGCUUUCGGGUAGCUCUGCGGGGGUAUGACCAGAAUUUCAAAAUUCCAGAAUUUCAUAAUUGAAUAAGCUUGCCAUGUACUUCGAGAUUAACAGAUAGUAGCUGAGUUGAGCAGCAUUGGAGUCUGUUGAUCUCCUGUGUUGAGCCACGCAUUGUCAUCAGUUGUAUGACUUAUUUUGUAGUUUAAACAGAUAAAAUUUUUAGGAUACAUGCAUUUUUAUCAGAAAUUGUAUCCAUAUCAAGGGCUAAUUGCAUAUUUGGUAUCUUUUGAUUAUGUUGGGCUUUUAGAGUCUUUUAGCUUGUUCAGAAGUGUAAAUUUCAUUCUUGUACACAUUAUUUUGAAUAGUUGGUAUUAUGAGAGACUGGUGUACCCUGUUUUAUAUUAUAUGUAUUGAUUUGAGAAAAUUGAGUUUUGAUCAAGUGAUUUUAGCCCAUAUUUCAGAGGGAACUCUGUCAAAAUUUUCAUAAAAUAAUGUCAUAGUCACGGUGGUGGGUCCGACACUUAGUUGGCAUCUAUCAUCAAUGCACGAUACAUGACGGGUUCAUUGGGGUGAUUCAAGACAGGUUGUAUCAUCUACAAUAAGGUGUUCAGAAGAAAUCUAGAGCUCUCUAAGUGAGGGCCCCAAACCAGAAGAAAUGAAAAAAGAGGCCACAUGAAAGCACCUCGAGGUUACUUGUAGAGGGUUGAUGUCAAACACCAGGGAUGCAAACCCGAUCAUUGGGGCUUCAUCACCCUAGGGAAGUACUCAUCAGUAUAAACUACCUUGGGCCACAUCUAAGGUCUUGGACAUUAAGGAGGAUCUCAUCCCUCUAGCUUCUUUCUUGUUUAAGGAUAACCAGUAAUGCAUACUAGUCUAAUCAUUGUUGAAAAUAGGCCAGUGUGAAGUUCGAUGAUGGUUUAAAGGCUCUUGAGACCAUGACUUUGAAGACAAAGCUUGAGCUUUAACUAUUAUAUGAUUUGUAAUUUUUUCCUAUAUUUAAGCCUCGAAGUGUGCUCAUGAUGUUUUCAUUAUUUUUUGGGCUCUCAGCAUUUUUUGAGGCCUUACCCUUAAGGGGGUGGACAAAUCCAACAAAACGGUCGAGCUUACAAAGCUAGUGGAAUAUUGGGAUAAAAAGAAUAGCCAAGCUCGAGGCUAAGUAUAAUACCUUGUGGAAGGAGCAUGAGAAGCUAAAGUCGAGUUGAAGGGCACCAAACUCCAGCUCAAGUGUGAAGAGAUAAAAUUAAAAACAUGAAGCUUAAGCAAAAGUAGAAAAAGUUCAAGGCGUAACUCGAGGAGGCCCAUGAAAAGCUAUCGAGGACUUCAAAAUGUUUGAGGAAUUUAAGAGGUUGAGGUCGACUAUGUGAUGGGCCCGAGCCUUCCUUCGGGUAAAUUUGCUCGAGGUUCAACCUAAAGAACUGAAGACUAUCCUUGAGGCUUCGGGUCAUCCUGAGUUGUGUGAGUCUGAGGAAGCAACGCCCGAUAAUAAAGUUGAGAUCAAAGAUGAUGAGAUAGAAUUAGACCCUGAGGGCUCCAACAAGCUCUCAAGCCCUCUGCUCUAAAUUAGUUUCAUUGAGCUUAGAAUAUAUUUUGUAAUGGGUAUGAUGAUGUAAAAAUAUUUUUGAUUGAAUGCAUAUUGAAAUUUUUUU